UACGUAGGCAGCAAGCGUUGUUCGGAGUUACUGGGCGUAAAGCGUGCGCAGGCGGUUUGGUAAGACAGAUGUGAAAUCCCCGGGCUUAACCUGGGAACUGCAUUUGUGACUGGCAGGCUAGAGUAUGGCAGAGGGGGGGUAGAAUUCCACGUGUAGCAGUGAAAUGCGUAGAGAUGUGGAGGAAUACCGAUGGCGAAGGCAGCCCCCUGGGCCAAUACUGACGCUCAUGCACGAAAGCGUGGGGAGCAAACGA
rnacentral:rRNA from 1 species